GAAUUGAACUUACUCCAGUAUGUGCGUUUAUGAAUUUCUCCUUCUUUUUUCCCUGUCACUUCACCUCCCUUAUAUAUUUAUUAUAAAUUCAACUCCUUAAUAAUGAAUCAAAAUCAUUGAAGAGGGGCACCUUCGUGUGAAGCGGAAUCAGUGAAACUGAAGCAGUGAAAAUGUGAAACAAGUCUUCGUGAAGCACUGCGCGUGGUCCCGUACUCCCUCCCUUAGUGUGUGAAACUGAAGCAGUGAAAGUGAGCCUUCGUGAAGCACUGCGGGCUGCGGCGUGGUACUCCCGUUUCCUUGCUACUGCUAGAAUAGGGUUUUGAUUUUUUUACUGUUUUUAUUUUACAAUUUGAACUUUAGUGAUUGUUGGGCUGGGCUGGCUGUUCUGUUUCAAAAAAAAAAAUAAGUGGGCUGGUGGGCUGCCCGACCCACCACGGGUUCAGCCCAAGUGAGCCGGGUAAAAGUGGGCCGGGUUUGAAUUUACCCACUUAACAUAAAACUGGUAUUUAUUUUGGCCCGGCCCGGCCCGUUUUCAAGGUGGGCCGGGUUGGCCCACGAGCCACAGCCCAUUUUGACGGCUCUACCCGGGCCUCCACCCCAGCCACCCCAACCCCGCCCUGCACAGGAAUCUGGAAUGCCUCAAGAAACUAAAACAAACAUGCAAAACACAAAUAUCCCACAAAAAUACUCACCUUACCAUCCUGCGCAGCAAGCCCAGCACUUUGUGCCGCCUCCGCCACAACCGCCGGAGCAGCCCCCUCGCUCGGAGGGCUAGCUGUAAGGUCCACGGCUUCCACAACCCGGGGGACCACCCUUUCGGUAUCAUGAGAGGCGGAGGUCCCCCCGACUAUAUCCUCCCCUCUCUUCCUCUUCCGGGCAGCCUGCCAGAGAGGAACAUCCUCCUCCGGAGGCUCAGGGACCUCGAGCUCAGUAACAUUGUAGCGAUGCUUAAGCUGACGCCACAAGUUUUUACCCAUAAUGCCUGCAGAGAUAAAAAAAAAUGAAGAACGUUAGUAGAAGGCAAUCACACAGGCCCUGGUAGCCUGCCAGAACACACGAUACUCACUCUCUAGGCCCCUCUCCCUGUAAGGCGAAUUCGCAAGCGACAAAACGAGCUUGCAAUCCAGCGGACGAGGGAGCGCGACAAGAUUUUUAAGGGCCGCCGCCUCCGCGGCCGUCACCUUCAAAUCCCCCAAACCGUGAAACCUAGACAGUUUGGGGCACCAAUAGAACGGAAACCUCGGCAAACCACCAAAGUAGAACGCCCCGUCUUUCAGGGGGUCAACACCCACAAGAGCGAUCCCGAAAAACUCCUGCUUGAAAUUCUUAUAUGACUGGGAGUAGGGAGUAAACAAACCCCCACCCCUACUCCCACUCAAAGACAAAAUACCAUAGGGCGGAGCGCCCAUUUUCAACUGAUAAAAAUAAAGAAAGACGCGCAGAGAUACCUCUAUACCUAGAACUGUACACAGGACCUGAAAAGCCCUCAGAAAACCCCAACUAUUGGGAUGCAACUGACAAGGAGUCGAGUUGAUGAAAUUCAAAAAGUCACACUCAAACUGAGUGAAAGGAAGACAAACACCCAAAUCCCUGAUAAAACAUUGAUACACAUAGAAAUGGGGGGGAUCAGUAGAUCUCCCCAUGUACACACCCUCAUCGGCCUGGCAGGGCUCAAGCCGAAUCAUAUGAGAGAUUGAAGGAUCGCAAAUCCUAUACGUCCUCCGAAGCGCAUUCACCUCAAGAAAGGAGCAAAAAAUGCUCUGCGCUUCAGCCACCUCAGGCUUAACCCAGUCAUAACCAGGAACGCCUGGCUCCGACCCCAUUUGUGGCAGCGGGACAGCCUCCUGGGCAGUAACCCUUCCGGCGGUCACCGCCCUAUCACGCGCCUUGCCCCCGGCAGACCCAGAAGACCCUAUGGCACUUCCACCAGCCAUUAAAAAAGAGAAAGAGAAAGAGGGAAGGACACCCAGGAAAGAUCCGAGAAAAGGAGAAAAGAAAUGAAUAAAAAGGAAGUACCUGGUACUCCUCCCCAGAAAACGAGCCUAACAAGAAAAAGGUUACCGGAAAAGACGCCGGAAACACGAAGAAGAAGGAAGAUGAAAGAAAGCAAAGGGAACCCUCUCGCACUCGAGACGCCAAAAAGAAAAUGAAGAAGUAAAGGCGAAGAAGCGCGACACGUGUCAACCAAAGGGCGCACCUGACGACGCAUUUAUUACAAAAACCAUCAUCACGCAACCGUCACUGCCCUUAACACGUCACUCAAACGUCUCCAGCAUGCGAACAGCCGCAACACGUGGCGGCCCUCCAGUUAGCGUACGCGCAAAGCCACUCUCCCCUCUAACGAGCCCGAUUUUAACUCUUCGACCAACGGCCUUCAGAGCUCGGGGGGCUAGUGUACUAACCAUACUUCGCACCCGGGCUCCGAGCCCGGACCAGCAAUAUAAAGGCAUCCCCGGGCACACACUAAGCAGUGUCAGCCCGGCAUUCGGAGCCCGGAAUUUGGGCAGAUCACGCCCGAACCCGGGGAUCUCGCCCCAGACCGAAACCGCCCUCUAAUUACGCUAUAUCAUAUCACAAUAUGCCAUAUUAUAACAUAUCUCAUCUCAGGCCUAAGGCCCAAGACAACCCUAAACCAUCUCAAGGUACGUGCAUUAUAUAUAUGAGACUAUUAUUCGUACAAACCCUAACUUUGGCAUCGGAAUCUCUUUUGCAGGUACCACCCCCAUCUUGGAGCACCAGCAUACCAGUGAAGGAGGCUCGCCGAUCUUACGCAGCGGAUCGUCUCUACGACAAAUUUCCGGUAAUAGCAGUAACAAACAGUGCAAAUAUUCUUUACGUUGCCCUUAUGCAUUCCGAGCGAUUGGAUUGUAUUAUUGAGUUUUCGCAAUCAAUUGAAAAAAUGAUUUCAAUGGAGCACAACUGAAGGCUGUAUGUGUUGAGGCUAGCAUGUUGGCUCUGUGCCAUGAGAUCUUGAAGUUUCUUGUAUAGUAGCCUGGAUGAAGGUAAUCGUUGCAAAACCUUAGGAGUUCCUCACAAGCUUGCUUCGUUACAAGUUCCUUGAGAUGAAAAGUGUUAGUUGAUACAUUAAAUAUUUGUAUGAAUUGCAUUUCACCAAAUUGUCACUUCUUAUCUAAUCAAGGAGGCUACUUAUCAGCUUUAAGAUACCAAACGAACUAUAUGUGGCCUAUGUUAGUGGGGAGCAGGUUUUGCAUCAACUUUUGUUGAAUUCUUUUGUGAUUUCAAGGGUUUACUUGUCCU